UACAGAGGGGGCAAGCGUUGUUCGGAAUUACUGGGCGUAAAGGGCGCGUAGGCGGCCCGCUAAGUCGAACGUGAAAUCCCCGAGCUCAACUCGGGAACUGCGUCCGAUACUGGCGGGCUUGAAUCCGGGAGAGGGAUGCGGAAUUCCAGGUGUAGCGGUGAAAUGCGUAGAUAUCUGGAGGAACACCUGCGGCGAAGGCGGGUUGCUGGGCUGACACUGACGCUGAGGCGCGAAAGCUAGGGGAGCGAACAGG
rnacentral:rRNA from 1 species